rnacentral:lncRNA from 1 species
UAUAAAGAGCAAGAGAGUGUCCUUUCAACCUCAAGCCCUUCUCAUGAAUGAGUGUUAAUCUCAUUCAUGAGAGAAGGGUGGAGACUUCAUAAUUAAAUCACCUCCCAAAGGUCACACCUUUUAAUGCUGUUGAAUUGGGGAUUAAGUUUCAACAAAAAUGUUGAAGGGAACAUCAUCAUUCAAACCAUUGAAAUCCUCCAUCCCAGAGUGAUAUAUCUUGAAAAUUCACUUCAUUUGAGAGUCAUUUGUUUCUUGAUAACUGUUUUCCAGUUGCUACAUACUUCAUUAAAUUGAUGCAAAGGAAAAUCUGUUCAUUGCGCUCAAAAUUUUAGAGAAAGACAUGAGAAAUGAUGAAGAAGUGGAUGAUUGACAGAGAGUUCAGCUGAGUUUCAGGUUGGUGAGAGGAUGUCUAAUAUAGAGGGCACUCCAGGAGUGGGCCUAGCAGCCUUAGCUGGAUGAGGGGGUCCCAUGGAAGAGGAUUGCCUAACACAUGAUUCUGAACUUCAUGUAAGUAUGAAGGUAUACAAAUGGGGAGCUUACAGACCCGCGAAUGUGUUUCUCAACGACCUGGGGACCAUACACAAACAGAAACACUGUAUACUUAGGGUCAGGAUCAUCAAUAGCACUGACUUGGACCUUUACAUUUUGUCCCACAGGAAGGUCUUCGUGGACAAUAUGUCCAUGCAGCUGUGUCAUCUCCUAUAAUAACACCACCUCCUGCUGGAAUACCUCCUGAAGAACCUGCUUGAGGCUGUUUAAAAUGGUUAACUUUUUUUAUUUUUAAUAUAUAUGUAGAAGCAGACUCUAAAAUAAUGACAAAAGUAUGGUGUAGUAAAUGCAUAAACCAGAAACAUGGUCAUUUAUUAUCAGUAUUAAGUAUUAUGUACUGUAUAAAAUUGUACUGCUAUACUUUUAUACUACUACUAACACAGUAGGUUUGUUUACACCAGCAUCACCACAAACACAUAAGUAAUGCAUUGGGCUAGGACAUUAAGAUAGCUUGUCACCUAUUCUAUCAAUAUGUGAUAAAAAUUUUUCAGUUCCAUUUUAAUCUUAUGGAACCACUGCUGUCUAUGCGGCCUGUCGUUGACCCAAAUGUCAUUAUGUAGUGCAUAACUGUACUAAUACUAAGAAAAACUGAGUGUUUGUAUUUUAGAGUUAAGCACUGAUACGUUUACAAAUAAAAUAAUAUCUGACGUUUGUUUCAAAGGAAUCUGGAUAAGAGGAUAUGGUAAGAACAUAUAUGAAGUAAGAUUGACCAUGGGUUAAUAAUGUUUGAAGCUAAGUGGUAAAUAAUCUUUGUCCCAACCUUUGUGCAUAGUGGUUCUCAAAGAUGAUCCCUGCACUGGCAGCAACAGGAUCAUUUGAGAUCUUGUUUGAAAAGCAAACUCUGAGGAAACCACAUAUUUUGUAACCAAAACUCUGCACAUGAGGCCCAUUAGCCUGUGGUUUCACAAGCCCUUUAGGUAAUUUUGAUCCAAGCUAAUGUUUCUGAAUCACUGCUCCAGUAUAAAUAACAUAGAAUAUUGCAUGUAUUUGUAGAGACAUGACAUUUGUAUAUUUUUAAGUUAUCCAUAAUACAACGAAAAAUAAUGAAAACACCCAGGACAAAUGUUUCACUGGAAAAAUUUGAAUAAAGUUUGCAGACAUAAUUCUAAUCUUAAACACUUCCAAAAGACAGAAAAGGAUCUAUUCCCCAACCCAGUCUGAGAGUAGAAAAUCUUAGCCCUGGAAGUGAACAAAGAGUAUGAAAGAACUAUUAAAGCCAGUCUCACUUAUGAACAAAAGAUCCAGUAAUCUUAAGAAGUUAAGUAAAUCUAGCAUUAUGUAAAAAUAAUAAAAAUACAUCAGAACGAAGUUGUAUUUAUCCUAGAAAAUGAAAGUUGAUUUAACAUUAGAAACACUUUAAAAAGCAGGGAGGAUUAAAGGAGUUUGUUUAUUCUUAAUAUAUUCUGUUUGUUUAUUUCAGUGUUUUUAUAUGAGUAUCCUUAAAUUUUUAAACUGUGUUAAGAUGCAUGCUUAUACUUGUUUUACUUUUCUGACUGGAAGAUAAACCUAAAUAAAGGUUGUGAAAAAGAU